UGUUGCUGCUCCAGAUGCAUUCAUUUGUGAUGCACCUGCUCGUGCUUUUCUUAAAUGUGUGAAGGGACACACUGGCUAUUAUGCGUGUGAGCGGUGCACUCAAAAGGGCAUGUAUGUGAAUAGGAGAUUGUGUUUUCCUGAAAUUUCUGCUGAGCAAAGGACUGAUGAGACUUUUCGUGCUAUGGCCUACAAAGAGCAUCAGGUUGGGGUGUCACCUCUGAAUGAGUUGGGUGUGGGACUAGUCUCAGGUUUUGUGCUGGACUAUAUGCACCUUGUGUGUCUGGGGGUAAUGCGAAAGCUUAUUUAUCUUUGGUUAAAAGGUCCCCGAAAAUGCAGACAGUCUAUGCAAAUUCUAACCGUGAUUUCAGCAUUCAUGGUUUCUGUCAGGCAAUAUUUGCCUAAAUGUUUUGCAAGGAAACCAAGAUCUCUCCUUGAAAUUAGCAUGUGGAAAGCAACUGAAUUGAGGCAAUUUUUGCUUUACACAGGCCCAGUUGUUUUAUUUAAUAAUAUACCAAGCCAAAUGUAUAGACACUUUAUACUGUUAUCUGUAUCUAUAAGAAUUCUUCUAAGUCCUGAUUUGUGUAUUGAUAACUGUGAUUAUGCAGACGAUGUUUUAAAGCAGUUUGUGAAAGAUUUUGGUUUGAUUUAUGGUCUUGAAUUUGUUGGUUAUAAUGUACAUAAUUUAAUACACCUAGCUGAAGAUGCGCGAAAGUCUGGACCUUUGGACAGUAUUUCCUGCUUCCCAUUUGAAACCUUCCUGGGUAAACUGAAAAAGAUCGUGCGGAGGCCUCAUAAACCUGUGGAACAAAUUGUCAAGCGCGUCUAUGAGAUGCAAAGUAUUCAGAAGAAAAGAAAAGAGAGGAUGUCUGUUCCCUCUCCUCUUAAACAGCCUCAUAACUCUGGACCAAUAACAAGUGAUCUUGGAACUUUUAAGCAGUACAGAAAAUACACUGAUGGACAGACAUAUGUUUCUUGCUCCAUGGGAGAUAACUGUUUCAAUGUAGGGGGGAAAAUUCUUAUUGUGGCAAACAUUUUACAGGAUUGCCAAGUUGUCAAAGCACUGUGUCAGGUCUUUGAAAACUGUAAUGCCUUUUUCAGCUAUCCAUUGGACUCAACAUGCCUUGGAAUUUACUUUGUUUCAAAUCUGUCUAAACAAAUGCAUCUUGUAUUACUUGAUGAAUUAAAACAGAAAAUUGUGCUUUUGCCACUGAAGUCUGGAUAUGUGGCAUUGCCACUGCUGUACUAGUUGGCUUCUUUUUGCUUUCUCCCCAGCAUGCUACCAUUUGCAGUUGUUGAUUUUCUGGAUGGUGGAGGUGUAUCCAUAAUUCCUUGCAAGUGGUUUACAGGACCAGCGGAAGAUUCUUGUUUCUGGCCACCAGGGAGAGUCAAUAUCAAUAAGGCUGUAAAGGAUGGAGUUACUCCAGAUGCAAACUGGUCACAGUACAGAGUUCGCAUCUUGGGGAAAGCUGAAAAAUACGAAAAUGCCAGGGUGAAACUGCGGAGGUCUGAAGCAACCUCUGAUCUGCAGACUGAGUCGGAUUCUGGAAGCAGAUUGGGAAAAGGGAAGCGGAAAAGGAGGCCAGUGAUCCAGUCAAGCUCAGAUGAGGAUUGGGACAACGCUGCGGAACAGCCAGAGAACUCAUCACCAUCAGCAAUGGAGAAUAGACAUUCAAGUGAAACUCCCCACCAGAACAUCACUCAUCCAUUUGUUCGGCUACCACCACCCUCAA